CACUUCAUGACUGAGAGCUGCAGCUCCAUAACUUCACCCACAGCAACCAUGACUUUGAUCCGCGUCUUCAUCUGCACACUGGCCCUCUGGACUCAAGGAUCCAGAGGUCAGGUGACUGUGACUCAGACUCCUUCAGUGCAAACUGUUGUUCCAGGAAACACAGUCACCAUCAACUGUAGAUUCAGCACUGCUGUUUAUCAUGACUGUGGGCCAACUGGUGUAUCAUAUGACUGUCUAGCCUGGUACCUUCAGAAACCUGGAGAAGCUCCUAAACUCCUAGUGCACUAUGUGAGUCACCUGUUCUCAGGCACUCCAACUCGUUUCAGCGGCAGUGGAUCUAAGACUGACUUCACUCUGACCAUCAGUGGAGUCCAGGCUGAAGAUGCAGGAGAUUACUACUGUCAGAGUUACCAUAGUGGUGAUGUGUUCACACAGCGUUAGAGCGCCGUACAAAAACCUCGGUCAGUGAAAGUGCACAGAGAAGCUCUGCUGCAGCUGGGAGCGACUGCAGGUGCUGAGGGGGAGGAAGUGAUACAGCACAAUGACACACACUGUGGACGAGAGAAAGCACACACACACUAACUCACCAAUGCACACACACAUCUGUGAGAGGAGUCCACCUUCCUCAGCUGUGGAUCAGUUUUAACUGAUCAUAUUAGUGAUAGUGGAUAUGAGAUAGAAUUUCAUCUUAAACUCAAUGAAGUCCAGCUUGAAGAUGCAGGAGAUCAGUACAGUGAGCACACACACACACACACACAUACACACUAAUCUAAACCACAUAAAGUCCUACACGUACACAAUCUUGACUGUUUCCAUAUCAGAGGAGUUAGAAACAGCUUGUCUAUAACCCACUCCUGAAACAUGAUCUGCUAACAGUCCAUUUCUAACAGCCAUUCUGGGAUUUUUAUGUUAAUCUGGGUAUCAUCUAUCAUGUGGAAUGCUAACCAAAACAAUGAUGUUUUAUAUCUUCUCACAUCUCAAGUUUAAUAAUUGUAUCAGAAGCACAUGUAACGUCUAAGCUAUACCCAGUAACUCAUGGCCCGGCCCAGUCACUGCCCUUCCAAUUCAUCCACGUUAAUCUCCUGUUGUUGGAUGAUGUUCCUUCAGCCACCGUUAACUAUAAUGAUGCAAUGAGGAACUCAGAAAGACAUUUCAGUCUAAUUCACAGCUAAAAUGAUCUCUCUUAGUGACUAGUCCUGAUCUUAAACAUUACCAACACUGUACUGGACUGUAAAUCCUAAAAUCCCUGACUCACAGUGAGAGUGCUGUUCUGUUCUGAAAUGGAACAUAUUCGCCCAGGAAGGUGAAAUAUGGAUUAUUAUUUUAAUACUGGUUAUUAAUUUCAAUAUGUAUAUUUCUUUAGUACUGUGAAUUCCAGAGCUAUGUAUCACUGAUAAAAGGUGUGCAUGUUAAUUCAAAGUCAAAACCAUGAAUAAUGCUACGUUGCUAUAGUGAUCAUUGUGCAGCAGGUAAACCGCAUUGGAGACAAACAUGACUAUUACAUUUAUCACACACACCGACAGUUUGUCUACUUUGUUAUCAGGUUGUCUUCAUAAAAUCUGUUAUUUUGAUCUAAAUAUCAUUUUUUAAAUCUUCCCUUAAGUAAGAUGUCAUAUGUGUUAUGUUAAAAGUGUAUUUUAUUGUGCCGGAGUGCUCAAGGUUAAUAUUAAA